rnacentral:lncRNA from 1 species
UCCAUUAUUUAUGUAUUCGUGGGAGUGUGGUUUUGUAACCGGUUCAGAUAAGUUAAAACAAAAAAGCCACCGCGGGAAAGGGGGGUGAAGGCGGAGGUGACCCAAGUCUGCGACCAAGGUCUCCAGCAACACCUGCAUGUAGACCUUGGCGAAUAUAUUUGUAAAGCAAAGAGGGAAAGGUCUCGGAAGAGGACCCUAAGGCACCCUAGAGUCUUUAUGCUACUGAGAAAAUACUCUUAGGUGGCACGACAGCAAACCCGAGGUGAACUUCACCUGAGUAGAGAGCAGCUCUGCUGGGGUGGCAUGGAUGAGCAGUAAGUUGAAUGUGGGUGUCUGUGCUUGUGCAAGCGGAGGAGGCCCCAGGAUGAAGAAGAUGACCACCCAUCUACUUAUGGGAUCGUUCAUCAUUCUUUGUGAGCUAUUGCGGAAGCGUCAGGAAACAGAAGUCAGUCAGGUGCGAAAAUUGACUUUCCCUGCAUGACCACACAAUGCAGAUAGUUUCACGGUUGAGAACCACUGUCUUGCCGGAAGCAUGAAACAUCUGGGAUGCUGUGGAACUUUUACAUCACCACCAUGGUUUCGUGAAGACUUUCCUCCAUGGAUUCUGGCUCAUGGAAACCAGAGGCCCCUGAGGGGGACAGAAGAGCUCCUAUCAUUGGAAGAGCCGACCUCAGGGCCACUACAGAGAAAAUCCAGCAACACUUCUGGUUCCAGCGGGGGCUCCCUGCCUCCCCCCGCCACCCCACCUUUCCAGGGAAUGAGGGCCAGACGUGAGUGGAGAACACACUCAUUAAAGAAACGGGCUCUUUGCUUUGAGCCACGGUAGAGAGCUCUGGAGCCACUGGAGCAGCGGAGUGAGCUGAGAGCAACAGGAGAUCGCCGACCCACACACUGCCUAAGCUCACCGGGAAGCCCCAGGACUGCAGCACCCACAGUCAGGAGCAGGUAUGGCUCCGCACGCCAUUCCUCCCUCUGUCUGUGGGAAUCUGGCGACUUGUACCUUAGUUUCCACAGCAUGGACUGGAAUUUGCAUUUCUAAGUCUCUCAAAAUGGAAACAUAUUGGAUUGGGCAGUGUGGACCCACACCUUUAAUCUCAGCACUACGGAGGCAGAGGCAGAUUUGCCUUCCCUGCAUUUGAUGUUUCUGCUGAAACCACCAUCAGAUGUACAAAGUGCCUUAUCCACCAUCAUGGUAUUCCACACGGCAUUGCUUCUGACCAAGGAACUCCUUUCACAGCCAGAAGUGCGACAUGGGACCCAUAACCAUGAAAACCAUUGACCUUCCUAAUGUCCACCAUCCUGAAGCAGAUGGCCUGACAGAAAGAUGGAAUGGCUUUUGAAGACACAGUCACAUCAUCAUUAAAUGGCAGCAGUAUGGAGGGCUGGGACAGGGUUCUCCCAAAGGCAGCAUAUGCUUUGAAACCAAUAUAUAGUACUGUUUCUCCUAUAGUCAUUGUCCAGAAGCAUGGAAAUGGGAACAGUUCCACUCAUUGUCACCCAAGUGACCUACUAGGAAAUGUUUUGCUUCCUGUUCCCUUCUCUUGACCUUGAGUUCUGCUGCCCUAGAAGUUUUGGUUCCAGAGUGCGAGCAUUCCUGCUGAGACCCAAGCAAGCAUCCAUUGAACGGGAAGCUCAGACUUUGCCCUGGCCACUUUGGGCUUCUGACACCCUUAAGCCAACGGGCUAAGAAAGGAAUGAUAAUGUUAGAAAGGGUGAUUAAUCCAUGCUACCAAGGGGAAACUGGAUUGCUCCUCCACGGUGGAGGUGAGAAAGAUUAUAUCCAGAGUACAAAAGAUCCUAUAGGGCAUCUCUUGGUGCUACAAUGUCCUGUGGCUAAAGUCCAUGGGAAACCUCAACAGCCUAGUCCAGGCAGGAUGACAAAGGACGCAGAGCCAUCAGGAACGAAGGGAUGGCUCACUCCUCCAGGAACAGAGCCAAGACUGACUGAGGGGCUUGCAGAGGGUGGAAGAAAUACAGAAUGGAUAGUAGAGGAAGGGAGUUACAGAUACCAUCUAAGGCCGCGUGACCACUUGCAGAAACGAGGAUUAUAAUUGACACGAGUGUGUGUUGUGUUUUGUUACGAGUUUGUUUGUUCAGGUGUUUGUGUUUCCUUUACCUAAUUUCUUUUUUUUUUUGUAAUAAAUAUUUUGUCAUCCUUUAAUCCCCAAAUUGGACAGUGAAAUUAAUUGAUACUGAUUGAAUAGACUGUAAGAUAUGUGCCACAUCACAGUAAGUAAGCAAUCUGAGAAGUUAUCGGUUUCCCAGUGCUUCCUGGGAAGACUGAGGCAUUCUGGGUAAUGUCUGCAUGGUCUUCUGCUAUGAGUGGAAAGGCUAAUUUAUUUCUUUCUUUCUUUCUUUUUUUCUUUUCUUUUUCGGAGCUGGGGACCAAACCCAGGGCCCUGCACUUGCUAGGCAAGUGCUCUACUACUGAGCUAAAUCCCCAACUCCGAAAGACUCAUUUCUUUAUCGUACAGUGUAACACCAAUAAAGAAUAUCAAUGGUUAUCAUACUUAAGUCGAGAUACUAAAAGAAUGUCCCAUAGGGGACAUGGCCACCUAUUCUAAAUGUAUCAUGCAUUUGUGGUUGUAUGAGGGAUAGUUAUAUGAGGUUUAUGUGUAAUUACAGUAAUGUUAUUUGGUUUAAUGUGUAAUGUGUUUGUGAUUGUGAUAUGUGAAAUUGUUAUAUCAAUUAUGACCUGGUUAUUGUUUUCAUUUGUAAAUUAAUCAUGACACAAGGAGAUAGUAUUGUGUUAGGUUGACAAGAAGUAGACUCAUGAUGACUAUUCUAGGUUUUCAACUCGAUUACAUCUAAGAUUAACUAAAACCCCAAAUGGAGGGGAACACCGGUGAGGGAGUUUUGCUUCAUUGGAGAGUGGGAAGAUCCACUUCUCAUUGGAAUCUUUUGUUUUGUUUUGUUUUGUUUGAAGACUGGGUUUCUCUGUGUAGCACUGGCUGUCCCAGAACUGACUCUGUGCACCAGGCUGCCCUCCAAGUCACACAUUCCCCUGUCUCUGCCUUUCAAGUACUGGGAUUAAAGGCGUGUGCCACCAAUGCCAGCCUUCUAAUCUGAAUCUUUGAGGUGGGAAGACAUACCUCUAAUUCCACACUUCUGCUGGAUGCUUAAAUAAGGACAUGGAAAAAGAAACCUCUGUCUUUGCCUGCUUGCUGUAACCUUGCUAGCAAGGCCACUCCUUCACUGGCAUUAGAACCUACUUCUUUGGGAUUCAUGUGUAUACUGAAUUGGCCAGCUGAGACGUCCAACCUCAUGGACUGAACAAUUACAAGAUUCUUGGACCUUCCAUUCCUAGGCAGCCAUUGUUGGAUUAGCCUGAAAGUCAUACUAAACAAAUCAUAUAUAUAAAUAAAUUUUAUAUAUUACAAAAUACA